CUGAUUCAUCUUAUCUCCCCCACCUCGCCGCCACCCACCGCCUCCCCUUCCUUCUCCGGCCCACCUCGCCGCCGGCCCUCCCCAUCCUCUUCUCCCACCUCGCGGCUCUGGAGGCUGUAGGAUCCGCAACAUCCCCUUCCCACCCACCCCUCUCGCGCCCAUCUUUCUCUCUUCACGCUGCUCCUUGCUGCGCCACCCACGGCGGAUGAUUCAGACGAAGCCCGGCGAAUCCCGCCACCACGAAGCACAGCCCGAGCUCCCCUCUCACCGCAGCACCCUCCCAUCCAGCUAGAUCUGGUGCUUGAGGCCAACAAAGCCCACCCGUCGUUAUAUAACCUCUUCUCUUCUCUUGUAGACGUGUAGGGAGGAAUGGCCAGUGGACAACAUUGUUGCUGCUCGGGAUGAAGCAGACAUGGAUCAGGUGAGUCGUUCCACUUCUCCUCUCCGCUCUGGUUCGUGGCACAUCAGGAGCCAUUGUUGUUCUGGCGGUGUUAUGAUUUGCCACUGUUUGGGCCCAAGUGCUUGCUGCAUGUGAUCAAUUUGAUUUUGUUGUGCUCCUAAAGUGUUGAUUGAUGCUUCGAUUGAACUGCAAGAUUAACCCCUUGUGCUGCCACCAUAGAUUCGAUGAAGUAGGGCAAACUUAUUGCAGGUAUCCAAUGAGCAAGAAGGAAGUUGGUUUUCGUUUCUGAGAAUUUUUAUGUUGUGCUCAUGCAAUUUGAGACGUAAGCUCUAGUGAGAAAGUGCAGCCUACAGGCUGAUUCAGCACAAUGAUGCUUGGAUGCGGUCCUGGAGGCAUAAAAGACACAUGAUGUUCACAAUCAUGGUGGCAGCAAGAUUGCGCGUACAUCUAUUGAUCGGUUCAUAAUGAGCUCCAAAACAGAGAAGCGUCAUGGUGUACCAUGGCUUGAGGAGAUGCAUAUGUCGGAAUUUUUGUGUAUUGCUGGAACAUGGUUUGCAUCACUACAUUCUAAGUUUAUAAUGUGAAGGUGGACAGAUCAGCCUAAUUACUAACGGAAUUUGAUACCUUUCAACGAGACGAUUCAGAAGAUAUAUGGAUGAUUAUAUGGGUGCGUGGCAAGUAUACUGCAAUGAUGAUGAUGAUGGAUGCUUUUGGUUUUAGUUAAGUAGUAUGGAUGUUGUUGAUGUUGUUGGAUGAUGUUCCUCAGUUACGUAUUAGUUUAGUUGUAGGGAUGUUGAUGGAUUAUGUCAGUCAAA